UUAAGCGACUAAGCGUACACGGUGGAUGCCCUGGCAGUCAGAGGCGAUGAAGGACGUGCUAAUCUGCGAUAAGCGUCGGUGAGGUGAUAUGAACCGUUAUAACCGGCGAUUUCCGAAUGGGGAAACCCAGUGUGUUUCGACACACUAUCAUUAACUGAAUCCAUAGGUUAAUGAGGCGAACCGGGGGAACUGAAACAUCUAAGUACCCCGAGGAAAAGAAAUCAACCGAGAUUCCCCCAGUAGCGGCGAGCGAACGGGGAGGAGCCCAGAGCCUGAAUCAGUGUGUGUGUUAGUGGAAGCGUCUGGAAAGGCGCGCGAUACAGGGUGACAGCCCCGUACACAAAAAUGCACAUAUUGUGAGCUCGAUGAGUAGGGCGGGACACGUGGUAUCCUGUCUGAAUAUGGGGGGGACCAUCCUCCAAGGCUAAAUACUCCUGACUGACCGAUAGUGAACCAGUACCGUGAGGGAAAGGCGAAAAGAACCCCGGCGAGGGGAGUGAAAAAGAACCUGAAACCGUGUACGUACAAGCAGUGGGAGCCUCUUAAUGGGGUGACUGCGUACCUUUUGUAUAAUGGGUCAGCGACUUAUAUUCUGUAGCAAGGUUAACCGAAUAGGGGAGCCGAAGGGAAACCGAGUCUUAACUGGGCGUUAAGUUGCAGGGUAUAGACCCGAAACCCGGUGAUCUAGCCAUGGGCAGGUUGAAGGUUGGGUAACACUAACUGGAGGACCGAACCGACUAAUGUUGAAAAAUUAGCGGAUGACUUGUGGCUGGGGGUGAAAGGCCAAUCAAACCGGGAGAUAGCUGGUUCUCCCCGAAAGCUAUUUAGGUAGCGCCUCGUGAAUUCAUCUCCGGGGGUAGAGCACUGUUUCGGCAAGGGGGUCAUCCCGACUUACCAACCCGAUGCAAACUGCGAAUACCGGAGAAUGUUAUCACGGGAGACACACGGCGGGUGCUAACGUCCGUCGUGAAGAGGGAAACAACCCAGACCGCCAGCUAAGGUCCCAAAGUCAUGGUUAAGUGGGAAACGAUGUGGGAAGGCCCAGACAGCCGGAUGUUGGCUUAGAAGCAGCCAUCAUUUAAAGAAAGCGUAAUAGCUCACUGGUCGAGUCGGCCUGCGCGGAAGAUGUAACGGGCUAAACCAUGCACCGAAGCUGCGGCAGCGACACUAUGUGUUGUUGGGUAGGGGAGCGUUCUGUAAGCCUGUGAAGGUGGCCUGUGAGGGUUGCUGGAGGUAUCAGAAGUGCGAAUGCUGACAUAAGUAACGAUAAAGCGGGUGAAAAGCCCGCUCGCCGGAAGACCAAGGGUUCCUGUCCAACGUUAAUCGGGGCAGGGUGAGUCGACCCCUAAGGCGAGGCCGAAAGGCGUAGUCGAUGGGAAACAGGUUAAUAUUCCUGUACUUGGUGUUACUGCGAAGGGGGGACGGAGAAGGCUAUGUUGGCCGGGCGACGGUUGUCCCGGUUUAAGCGUGUAGGCUGGUUUUCCAGGCAAAUCCGGAAAAUCAAGGCUGAGGCGUGAUGACGAGGCACUACGGUGCUGAAGCGACAAAUGCCCUGCUUCCAGGAAAAGCCUCUAAGCAUCAGGUAACAUCAAAUCGUACCCCAAACCGACACAGGUGGUCAGGUAGAGAAUACCAAGGCGCUUGAGAGAACUCGGGUGAAGGAACUAGGCAAAAUGGUGCCGUAACUUCGGGAGAAGGCACGCUGAUAUGUAGGUGAAGCGACUUGCUCGUGGAGCUGAAAUCAGUCGAAGAUACCAGCUGGCUGCAACUGUUUAUUAAAAACACAGCACUGUGCAAACACGAAAGUGGACGUAUACGGUGUGACGCCUGCCCGGUGCCGGAAGGUUAAUUGAUGGGGUUAGCGGUAACGCGAAGCUCUUGAUCGAAGCCCCGGUAAACGGCGGCCGUAACUAUAACGGUCCUAAGGUAGCGAAAUUCCUUGUCGGGUAAGUUCCGACCUGCACGAAUGGCGUAAUGAUGGCCAGGCUGUCUCCACCCGAGACUCAGUGAAAUUGAACUCGCUGUGAAGAUGCAGUGUACCCGCGGCAAGACGGAAAGACCCCGUGAACCUUUACUAUAGCUUGACACUGAACAUUGAGCCUUGAUGUGUAGGAUAGGUGGGAGGCUUUGAAGUGUGGACGCCAGUCUGCAUGGAGCCGACCUUGAAAUACCACCCUUUAAUGUUUGAUGUUCUAACGUGGGCCCCUUACCGGGGUUGCGGACAGUGUCUGGUGGGUAGUUUGACUGGGGCGGUCUCCUCCUAAAGAGUAACGGAGGAGCACGAAGGUUGGCUAAUCUCGUCGGACAUCAGGAGGUUAGUGCAAUGGCAUAAGCCAGCUUGACUGCGAGCGUGACGGCGCGAGCAGGUGCGAAAGCAGGUCAUAGUGAUCCGGUGGUUCUGAAUGGAAGGGCCAUCGCUCAACGGAUAAAAGGUACUCCGGGGAUAACAGGCUGAUACCGCCCAAGAGUUCAUAUCGACGGCGGUGUUUGGCACCUCGAUGUCGGCUCAUCACAUCCGGGGCUGAAGUAGGUCCCAAGGGUAUGGCUGUUCGCCAUUUAAAGUGGUACGCGAGCUGGGUUUAGAACGUCGUGAGACAGUUCGGUCCCUAUUCGCCGUGGGCGCUGGAGAACUGAGGGGGGCUGCUCCUAGUACGAGAGGACCGGAGUGGACGCAUCACUGGUGUUCGGGUUGUCAUGCCAAUGGCACUGCCCGGUAGCUAAAUGCGGAAGAGAUAAGUGCUGAAAGCAUCUAAGCACGAAACUUGCCCCGAGAUGAGUUCUCCCUGACUCCUUGAGAGUCCUGAAGGAACGUUGAAGACGACGACGUUGAUAGGCCGGGUGUGUAAGCGCAGCGAUGCGUUGAGCUAACCGGUACUAAUGAACCGUGAGGCUUAACCU
rnacentral:rRNA from 1 species